GUGCUGGCUUCAGCAGUACAUAUACUAAAAUUGGAACAAUCAAGAGAAGACUUGCAUGGCCCCUGCACAAGAAUGACACACAAAUUCAUGAAGUGUUCCAUAUAUAA
rnacentral:snRNA from 1 species